rnacentral:rRNA from 1 species
AACGAACGCUGGCGGCAGGCCUAAAACAUGCAAGUCGAGCGGGCAUAGCAAUAUGUCAGCGGCGGACGGGUGAAUAACACGUGGGAACAUGCCCUUUGGUACGGAACAACUCAGGGAAACUUGAGCUAAUACCGUAUGUGCCGGUAACGGGAAAGAUUUAUCGCCAAAGGAUUGGCCCGCGUCCGAUUAGCUAGUUGGUGAGGUAACGGCUCACCAAGGCGACGAUCGGUAGCUGGUUUGAGAGAACGAUCAGCCACACUGGGACUGAGACACGGCCCAGACUCCUACGGGAGGCAGCAGUUGGGAAUCUUGGACAAU